rnacentral:rRNA from 1 species
CAGUGUACCCGCGGCAAGACGGAAAGACCCCGUGAACCUUUACUAUAGCUUGACACUGAACAUUGAGCCUUGAUGUGUAGGAUAGGUGGGAGGCUUGGAAGUGUGGACGCCAGUCUGCAUGGAGCCGACCUUGAAAUACCACCCUUUAAUGUUUGAUGUUCUAACGUUGACCCGUGAUCCGGGUUGCGGACAGUGUCUGGUGGGUAGUUUGACUGGGGCGGUCUCCUCCUAAAGAGUAACGGAGGAGCACGAAGGUUGGCUAAUCCUGGUCGGACAUCAGGAGGUUAGUGCAAUGGCAUAAGC